rnacentral:misc_RNA from 1 species
UUCAUUUCACAUAAAAUAAAUCCGGUAGAAUUAAUUGUUUAAAUUGUAUCCCAGUACUUCAGCCUUGAAUUUAAGAGUUCGAGGUCAAAAUACCUUUAAUAUAUAUUGGCAAUAAUAUACACAGCUUUAAAAAUCACUACAAACAUACCCAACUGGUCAAACUUGCAAACUCAUCAGACCAGGAAGUGACUAAAAAUAACAAAUUAGAUAUUAUUUAAAUUCAACAAUUGGAGCAUAUUGGUCAUAACUUCACUACAUAUUCACGAAAUUUGUCAUGUUUAAGCUAAAUUUGAUCCUUAUAAAAU